GUCAAUGUGGUAUAGUGGUUUGAUCGUUUGACUAAAAAUCUGGAGGUCAGGUUUCAAAUCCCCACUUGGCCA